UAAUACAGAGGGGGCAAGCGUUAUUCGGAAUUAUUGGGCGUAAAGGGCGCGUAGGCGGCCUGACAAGUGGAUGGUGAAAUCCCUCGGCUUAACCGAGGAACUGCCAUCCAGACUGUUUGGCUUGAGACCGGGAGAGGUGAGUGGAAUUCCCAGUGUAGCGGUGAAAUGCGUAGAUAUUGGGAGGAACACCAGUGGCGAAGGCGGCUCACUGGACCGGUACUGACGCUGAUGCGCGAAAGCGUGGGGAGCAAACGGGAUUAGAUACCCCGGUAGUCCACGCCGUAAACGAUGAGUGCUUGGUGUAGCGGGUAUCGACCCCUGCUGUGCCGAAGUCAACACAUUAAGCACUCCGCCUGGGGAGUACGGUCGCAAGGCUG
rnacentral:rRNA from 1 species